UACGGAGGGGGCUAGCGUUGUUCGGAAUUACUGGGCGUAAAGCGCACGUAGGCGGCUUUGUAAGUUAGAGGUGAAAGCCCAGGGCUCAACCCUGGAAUUGCCUUUAAGACUGCAUCGCUUGAAUCAUGGAGAGGUGAGUGGAAUUCCGAGUGUAGAGGUGAAAUUCGUAGAUAUUCGGAAGAACACCAGUGGCGAAGGCGACUCACUGGACAUGUAUUGACGCUGAGGUGCGAAAGCGUGGGGAGCAAACAGGAUUAGAAACCCGUGUAGUCC
rnacentral:rRNA from 1 species